AUACCAUUAAUUUUCAUGAACCCCUAAUUUAUAAUGAAUGACUCCAUAUUUAUAUGGAAGACACCAUGCUAGGAUUAGUAACAAGAAUUUAUAAUUCUCCAAAAUGCAAAUAUAAACCAACAUGGAUUGACCAUUGGUAGUUACCGAACCUAAAUUUACUGCAAUAACACCCACAAGAAAACUCUGCAGUACUUACUCGUUAACCUAACACCAGCGCAUUACAGGAAAGAUUUAAAAAAAGAGAAGGAAUUCGGCAAAUGACGGCCCCGCCUGUUUACCAAAAACAUCGCCUCUUGACUUAUAAUAAGAGGUCCAGCCUGCCCAGUGAAUUUUAAACGGCCGCGGUAUCCUAACCGCGCGAAGGUAGCAUAAUCACUUGUUCUUUAAAUGGGGACUCGUAUCAACGGCAUCACGAGGGUUUUACUGUCUCCUCUUUUUGAUCAGUGAAAUUGAUCUUCCCGUGAAGAAGCGGGAAUAUUUUUAUAAGACGAGAAGACCCCAUGGAGCUUUAAACCAAAUAACAACUUAACUACUUAUCCCACAAUAAAUUUAAGCCCUGUUAUAAGGUUUUUGGUUGGGGUGACCGCGGAGUAAAGCACAUCCUCCACGACGGAAAGAACAUAAUCUUUAUUUAAGAACCACACUUCUAGAAAUUAGUAUACUAACGUUUACUGACCCGACAAUCGAUCAACGGACCAAGUUACCCUGGGGAUAACAGCGCAAUCUACUUCAAGAGCUCAUAUCGACAAGUAGGCUUACGACCUCGAUGUUGGAUCAGGGUAUCCC
rnacentral:rRNA from 1 species